AUAACAAUGUAGCCGAGAUCCAUGUCAGACAUGGAUGCGGGGGACCCGGUUUCAGGGGCGAAUUCCAAAGAUGGAUAGGAUACUUCCAGGUCCGAGCCCGUCAGCUAACCUCGUAGGCUUUUGGAAGGGCAUUC
rnacentral:sRNA from 2 species